AUGCGGGGUGCGGUGCUGCUGCUGCCGCUGGUGGCCGCCGUGUUGCUGCACGCGGCGGCUGCGGCCGGCGGAGGCAACGGGAGCUGCGAGCGGAGGUGCGGGAGCAUGGAGCUGCCGUACCCGUUCGGUUUCUCCGGCGGCUGCACGAUACAGCUCGUCUGCGACGUCGGCGUCGACGACGUCCGCGCCGCGUGGCUCGGCGGCGCGCCGGAGCUGGGCCUGCUCGUGCGCAACGUCACGCCGCGCGCGCUCAUCCUCAACCUGCAGCCCGACUGCUCUCGCUUGUUCAAUGCGUCCGUCGCGGUGCUCUUCUCCGACAGCUACGCGCCCGCCUGGGGGAACACGCUCGUCGUCAGCUCCUGCAGCAGCUCCGAGGCCGCCCUCAUAAAAAACUGCAGCAGCGAGCCGCCGGACCGCUACAUGAAGAGAAGCACGUCCCACUGCAGCGCCAACGAGUCCAUACGCUGCAUCCUGCCUCGUACUCCCAGCAACACCAGCGGCCACCAUUUUCUGAACAGAAGCGAGGUGCUCAGGUCAAACUGCACCGGGCUGGUGUCGGCGGUGAGCUAUUCGGACGCACAGGGGCCGUCACUGCUGCUCGGCGCGCUGGAGCUGGACUGGUGGGUACCGGGGCGUUGCCGCUGUGAUGCCAGAGCCAACUGCACCCAGUUCCCAGCGACAAAGACGCGGCCGGAGGCGUUCCAGUGCGAGUGCCCGGAGGGCCUCCAGGGCGACGGCUUCGUCGACGGCACCGGCUGCUGGGAAGUUCCUACUCUUCUGUUGGCCUGUUCUUCAAAGCUUCAUUGGAUCCAGGGAUGAGAAGGGGCGAACGGGGAAUGAGUGUUGCAGCCUUGGAGAUCUGGGAAGCUACAUCGACAAUUCGACAUCAAGCCAUAUGCCCAUAUUCAGCUGCUUUUGUUCCCUGUAUUGACUAUUUUUCUGCAAUUGUUUGGGGACAUGUCUUCUACUCCCUCCGUUCCUAAAUAUUUGUCUUUCUAGAGAUUUCAACAAAUGACUACAUACGGAGCAAAAUGAGUGAAUCUACACUCUAAAACAUGUCUAUAUACAUCCAUAUGCGGUAGUCCAUUUGAAAUCUUAAAAAGACAAAUAUUUAGGAACGGAGGGAGUAGAAAAUGUUUAUCAGUGAGAAAAGGAAGUGAAAAAACUAGAGAGAUGAACUGGUAUGAUCCCAGAAAAGUUCAAUUGACAACUUUUUUAGAACCAGUAGUUCUUCGAAGAAAUUAAAGUGUACAAAAUUUCCAAGUCCAAGUGCGACCGCUCGAAUUACCUAUCAAGAGAUUGUGGCAAGAUCAUCCUCGUUGGUCUUAUCAUGGCAGGAAUAGUUUUUGGAGCCAUGGUGAUGGGCAUCGGCUGCGUGGUGUGCCACCUGGUGAAGCGCCGUUCCGCGUCCAUCCGGUCGCAGCAGAGCACGAAGCGGCUCCUGUCGGAGGCGGACUGCACGGUGCCACUCUACUCGUACCGCGAGAUCGAGCGCGCCACCAGCGGCUCGGCACCGGCGCCUACGGCACGGUCUACGCGGGCCGCCUCAGCGACAACCGCCUCGUCGCCGUGAAGCGGAUCAAGCACCGCGACAACGCCGGCGGCGGCCUGGACUCCGUCAUGAACGAGGUGAAGCUGGUCUCCUCCGUGAGCCACCGCCACCUGGUCCGCCUCCUGGGCUGCUGCAUCGAGCAGGGCCAGCAGAUCCUCGUCUACGAGUUCAUGCCCAACGGCACGCUGGCGCAGCACCUGCAGCGGGCGCGCGGCCGCCCCGCCGUGCCCUGGACGGUGCGCCUCCGCGUGGCCGCCGAGACCGCCAAGGCCAUCGCGUACCUGCAGUCGGAGGUGCACCCGCCCAUCUACCACCGCGACAUCAAGUCCAGCAACAUCCUGCUCGACCACGAGUACAACUCCAAGGUGGCCGACUUCGGGCUGUCGCGGAUGGGCAUGACCUCCGUCGACUCGUCGCACAUCUCCACGGCGCCGCAGGGCACCCCGGGCUACGUGGACCCGCAGUACCACCAGAACUUCCACCUCUCCGACAAGAGCGACGUGUACAGCUUCGACGUGGUGCUGGUGGAGAUCAUCACGGCCAUGAAGGCCGUCGACUUCAGCCGGGGCCCCAGCGAGGUCAACCUGGCGCAGCUCGCCGUGGAGAAUGUUAUUUUAUUGUGUUCCAAAUCCCAUAUAAAUGUUGUACUAUAG
rnacentral:rRNA from 1 species